rnacentral:rRNA from 1 species
GACGAACGCUGGCGGCGUGCUUAACACAUGCAAGUCGAACGGAAAGGCCCUGCGUUUGUUGGGUGCUCGAGUGGCGAACGGGUGAGUAACACGUGAGUAACCUGCCCUUGACUUUGGGAUAACUUCAGGAAACUGGGGCUCAUACCGGAUAGGAUCUCCUGCUGCAUGGUGUGGGUUGGAAAGUUUCGGCGGUUGGGGAUGUACUCGCGGCUUAUCGGCUUGUUGGUGGGGUAGUGGCUUACCAAGGCUUUGACGGGUAGCCGGCCUGAGAGGGUGACCGGCCACAUUGGGACUGAGAUACGGACCAGACUCCUACGGGAGGCAGCAGUGGGGAAUAUUGCACAAUGGGCGGAAGCCUGAUGCAGCAACGCCGCGUGCGGGAUGACGGCCUUCGGGUUGUAAACAGCUUUCGACUGUGACGAAGAGUGAGUGACGGUAAUGGGUAAAGAAGCACCGGCUAACUACGUG